AUUGGAUAUUUCUUCGGAUAAAACAUCAAUAACAGAAUGGCAGGCAAAGCCGUUCCGCUUCUGCUUAGAGCGACGCCACCUCCACCGCCGUCGCCGCUCUUCAGCUCCGGACCAAUCGCUUUUCCGAGAGCGGUUGUGGUGAAUAAGCGAUUGUACGCCGCGAAAUCGAGUCUUGAGCCACCAGAUGUUGGGCGAUUAGCUGAAACAGCGUGAAUUUCUCUCACCUCUCAACAAGUUGAAGCAUUCGCUCCCAAGAUUCGACAAGUGAUAGACUGAUUAGUAUCUUCUUCUGUCCAUAUGCAUGCAGAUGUGUCUGUGUUUGUAGAGAGCAUAUUUCUGUGUUGUGUAUGGUUUUGGAUUUGUAAUUCAAUCAAAUCUUGAGGGUUUUUGUUCAAACAGUCCUUGUGAAUAUGUUGUCGCUCAUUUGGUAAUGUAAAUGCGCACAGGUCUGAGCAACUUCAGGCUGUUGACCUUUAGAGUAUUGAACCAGCCAUAAGAGCAGGUGCCUCGACACUCAACUCAAACUUUAUCCGUGGGCAGUUAGCACCAACCAUAUCCGAAAUUUCCCGUGUGUGCGUGGAUGCUAUCAUAGCAGCUGUGCCAUCAAAUGAUAGGAGUGAUUCCUCUCUUCAAACCCAUGGGACUGCGGCAGUGCUGCCUUCACUUCUGAUGGGAACUGGCUCCCAUCAGCCGAUCGAUAUUCAUUAUCACCAGAUUGAGAUUAGUUCUGCAAUGAAAACGGCAAAGAAGAGCCUAGAUCAAGAGUCUUUUGUGAUGUAAUUCUGCGCAUUCUUAUGUUCAGCUGGGCUCCCUCCAUCAUGCAAGAGGUUCAGCCAUGUUUUGUAUUAAUGGCUCCAUAGGCAUAUGUUCAGCUGGGCUCCCUCCAUCAUGCAAGAGGGUUCAGCCAUGUUUUGUAUUAAUGGCUCCAUGGGCAUUUGUGUUCUUAGGAAUGGAACCGGGUAAGGGAAUUAGGAUUUGAUUGACAACUUGAUCAGCAUGUUUUAAUCUAGAUUCUGUAACCCCGACUUUCUUGUCAAAGAGAGAGCAAGAGUAUCUCCAUGCUCCGUUUCUUGCAUUUCACGCCAGUCGACUCCUUGAUAAUUAGAGAAUAAUGCAUCACACUAGAACUUCGUAUUCUGGGCAGAGAGAGUUUGUACUUAGCCCACAUAUUUGGUGUCAAUCAUGCAGCUCUAUGCGUACGUUCCCAACUGAUAAAAAUGAAAAAGGAAAGAUUUCUUACUUUUAAGUUAAAAUGUUAUA